CAGCUUGUUUGUGUCACUCCUGGCCCCACUCGCUCAGGAGCUGGGAGCCUGGGCAGCAAGUCGGGGCUGCUCUAUAGCUGGUGAGGCCCUCAAGGCUGUCGGGGUGAAGUCCUUGGCCAGAGCAAAAUGAGGGUAUGGGAGCACACAGCCACAUCCAUGGAACCCCGUUCCCCAUCCUCCUGGAUGGGGUUGAGGACAUCUCUGACCUCCAACCCCUCUCCCAGCUGCCCAGGAGGCCCGCAACAAGUUCGAGGAGGCCGAGCGGUCGCUGAAGGACAUGGAGGAGUCCAUCAGGUAGCGGGGGCUGAGGAGCGGGGACACCUGUCCCACAGCGACUGCUCCUUGACUCCCAGGGGAGCUGGUGAUGGGGAAUCACUGAGGCAACCACAGGCUGGGCCUGGUCCCUGCAGGGAGGGUCCCUGGGAGGUGGCAGGGAGGACAGCCUGGGCACCAUUGCUCAGCCAGACCCUCCUGUGUCUGUCGUCCUGGGUCAGGCACUGGCGUCCCCAGCUGCCCCUUAACCGCUCCGCCUCCCCUUCCAGGAACCUGGAGCAAGAGAUUUCUUUUGACUUUGGCCCCAACGGGGAGUUUGCUUACCUGUACAGCCAGUGCUACGAGCUCACCACCAACGAAUACGUCUACCGCCUCUGCCCCUUCAAGCUUGUCUCGCAGAAACCCAAACUCGGGGGCUCUCCCACCAGCCUUGGCACCUGGGGCUCAUGGAUUGGCCCCGACCACGACAAGUUCAGUGCCAUGAAGUAUGAGCAAGGCACGGGCUGCUGGCAGGGCCCCAAC
rnacentral:lncRNA from 1 species